AGUGAACGCUGGCGGCGUGCCUAAUACAUGCAAGUCGAACGAUGAAGCUUCUAGCUUGCUAGAAGUGGAUUAGUGGCGCACGGGUGAGUAAUGCAUAGAUAACAUACCCUUUAGUCUAGGAUAGCCACUGGAAACGGUGAUUAAUACUGGAUACUCCCUACGGGGGAAAGUUUUUCGCUAAAGGAUUGGUCUAUGUCCUAUCUGCUUGUUGGUGAGGUAAUGGCCCACCAAGGCUAUGACGGGUAUCCGGCCUGAGAGGGUGAUCGGACACACUGGAACUGAGACACGGUCCAG
rnacentral:rRNA from 1 species